AAUGUGACAUGGCAGAUAUCUUUGAGACCAAGGUUGAAGGCACAGAGGUCAUGAUUGUCCCAAACGUGAGAAGGAGUUUUCCCAGCAGCGACGAAUCUACGACAGGGAGUGAUAUGACUGCAGGGUGGUUUUAAGGUACGAUGAAAGGGAAUCAUACAAGAAAAAGAAGAAGAAGAAUUUUCAUUGCAUUUCUUAAUCCAUGUUAUUUCAAUGGCUAAUUUGUCAUUUACAGUAGUGGCCACGUUGACUCC
rnacentral:lncRNA from 1 species